rnacentral:ncRNA from 1 species
CUCACAUGAAAGCCAUCUGUGGCACAAUGAAGGUGAAGGCCAGCACCCACUGGCUGAGGUGGGAAGCAGAGUCUUGGUCAAGGGUGCACCACUCACCUCUCCAGCUGGGAGGUAGAGGAUGAGUGGUGAGCUAUGGCUGGGUAGAACAAAACCAGAGGAAACUCUGGUGGAGACCCAAAGUAAUCAUUUGACCUGGGUAUAGGAGCAAAAGCCUAGGUGCUCUCAAAGUGGUUAUCUGGUCAGGCAGGGGUCCCUUCUCCUCAGGAAUGAGAGGGACCCUGGUGCUUGCUGCCACUGUUUUAUCCAGUCAAGAGCAUGGCUAGAGGUGUUGGGACUGAAACUAUCGCAAUCCAUUCUCAAACUUUUAAAUGGGUAAGAAGUCUGGCUUGUUGGACUAGAGCAGGUCAUGGAAUGUGAGUGUAUGUGUGACUCUGGGUAUUCUAAAGGGUGAAGGUGAGAAUGAAGUGCAUUUCAGGUUUGUGUGCCAGUCUGUUUAAAUUCCAGUUUAAGAGGAAGAGAGAAUGUUGAUGUUCUGGAACUAAAAAGUGAGCUAGUUUAACUGGAACAUAGCAUGUAUA